GACGAACGCUGGCGGCGUGCUUAACACAUGCAAGUCGAACGGAAAGGCCCUGCUUUUGUGGGGUGCUCGAGUGGCGAACGGGUGAGUAACACGUGAGUAGCCUGCCCUUGACUUUGGGAUAACUUCAGGAAACUGGGGCUAAUACCGGAUAGGAGCUCCUGCUGCAUGGUGGGGGUUGGAAAGUUUCGGCGGUUGGGGAUGGACUCGCGGCUUAUCAGCUUGUUGGUAGGGUAGUGGCUUACCAAGGCUUUGACGGGUAGCCGGCCUGAGAGGGUGACCGGCCACAUUGGGACUGAGAUACGGCCCAGACUCCUACGGGAGGCAGCAGUGGGGAAUAUUGCACAAUGGGCGGUAGCCUGAUGCAGCAACGCCGCGUGCGGGAUGACGGCCUUCGGGUUGUAAACCGCUUUCGCCUGUGACGAAGCGUGAGUGACGGUAAUGGGUAAAGAAGCACCGGCUAACUACGUGCCAGCAGCCGCGGUGAUACGUAGGGUGCGAGCGUUGUCCGGAUUUAUUGGGCGUAAAGGGCUCGUAGGUGGUUGAUCGCGUCGGAAGUGUAAUCUUGGGGCUUAACCCUGAGCGUGCUUUCGAUACGGGUUGACUUGAGGAAGGUAGGGGAGAAUGGAAUUCCUGGUGGAGCGGUGGAAUGCGCAGAUAUCAGGAGGAACACCAGUGGCGAAGGCGGUUCUCUGGGCCUUUCCUGACGCUGAGGAGCGAAAGCGUGGGGAGCGAACAGGCUUAGAUACCCUGGUAGUCCACGCUGUAAACGGUGGGUACUAGGUGUGGGGUCCAUUCCACGGGUUCCGUGCCGUAGCUAACGCUUUAAGUACCCCGCCUGGGGAGUACGGCCGCAAGGCUAAAACUCAAAGGAAUUGACGGGGCCCCGCACAAGCGGCGGAGCAUGCGGAUUAAUUCGAUGCAACGCGUAGAACCUUACCUGGGUUUGACAUGGAUCGGGAGUGCUCAGAGAUGGGUGUGCCUCUUUUGGGGUCGGUUCACAGGUGGUGCAUGGCUGUCGUCAGCUCGUGUCGCGAGAUGUUGGGUUAAGUCCCGCAACGAGCGCAACCCUUGUUCACUGUUGCCAGCACGUUAUGGUGGGGACUCAGUGGAGACCGCCGGGGUCAACUCGGAGGAAGGUGGGGAUGACGUCAAGUCAUCAUGCCCCUUAUGUCCAGGGCUUCACGCAUGCUACAAUGGCUGGUACAGAGAGUGGCGAGCCUGCGAGGGUGAGCGAAUCUCGGAAAGCCGGUCUCAGUUCGGAUUGGGGUCUGCAACUCGACCUCAUGAAGUCGGAGUCGCUAGUAAUCGCAGAUCAGCAACGCUGCGGUGAAUACGUUCCCGGG
rnacentral:rRNA from 1 species